CUGGGGGGCAACACUUCGGAAAUCAAUCGUGCCUAUCCUCUUGCGGGGAAAACACGACAGAUGGGAGCUUGCUCCCUGAUGUUAGCGUUUGACGGGUGAGUAACACCCGGGUAACCUGCCUGUAAGACUGGGAUAACUCCGGGAAACCGGGGCUAAUACCGGAUGGUUGUUUGAACCGCAUGGUUCAGACAUAAAAGGUGGCUUCGGCUACCACUUACAGAUGGACCCGCGGCGCAUUAGCUAGUUGUUUUUGUAACGGCUCACCAAGGCGACGAUGCGUAGCCGACCUGAGAGGGUGAUCGGCCACACUGGGACUGAGACACCGCCCCCACUCCUACGGGAGGCAGCAGUAGGGAAUCUUCCGCAAUGGACGAAAGUCUGACGGAGCAACGCCGCGUGAGUGAUGAAGGUUUUCGGAUCGUAAAGCUCUGUUGUUAGGGAAGAACAAGUGCCGUUCAAAUAGGGCGGCACCUUGACGGUACCUAACCAGAAAGCCACGGCUAACUACGUGCCAGCAGCCGGGGUAAUACGUAGGUGGCAACCGUUGCCCGGAUUAUUGG
rnacentral:rRNA from 1 species